AACGAACGCUGGCGGCAUGCCUAACACAUGCAAGUCGAACGAUCCCUUCGGGGAUAGUGGCGCACGGGUGCGUAACGCGUGGGAACCUGCCCUUAGGUUCGGAAUAACUCAGAGAAAUUUGAGCUAAUACCGGAUAAUGUCUUCGGACCAAAGAUUUAUCGCCUUUGGAUGGGCCCGCGUUGGAUUAGCUAGUUGGUGGGGUAAAGGCCUACCAAGGCGACGAUCCAUAGCUGGUCUGAGAGGAUGAUCAGCCACACUGGGACUGAGACACGGCCCAGACUCCUACGGGAGGCAGCGGUGGGGAAUAUUGGACAAUGGGCGAAAGCCUGAUCCAGCAAUGCCGCGUGAGUGAUGAAGGCCUUAGGGUUGUAAAGCUCUUUUACCCGGGAUGAUAAUGACAGUACCGGGAGAAUAAGCCCCGGCUAACUCCGUG
rnacentral:rRNA from 1 species